GGGAGUUUGGCCGAGUGGUCUAAGGCGCCAGAUUUAGGUUCUGGUAUCUUCGGAUGCGAGGGUUCGAACCCCUCAGCUCUCA
rnacentral:tRNA from 2 species